rnacentral:rRNA from 1 species
UACAUGUGGGGCAAGCGUUGUUCGGAAUUACUGGGCAUAAAGGGUGCGUAGGUGGCUUGUUAAGUCAGAGGUGAAAGUUUUCGGCCCAACCGGAAAAUGGCCUUUGAUACUGGCGAGCUCGAGUGCGUGAGGGGUAACCGGAACGAGCAGUGUAGCGGUGAAAUGCGUAGAUAUUGCUCGGAAGGCCAACGGCGAAGGCAGGUUACUGGUGCGCAACUGACACUGAGGCACGAAAGCGUGGGGAGCAAACAGG